UACGUAGGGGGCAAGCGUUGUCCGGAAUUAUUGGGCGUAAAGAGCGUGUAGGCGGCCAGGUAGGUCCGAUGUGAAAACUGGAGGCUCAACCUCCAGCUGUCAUUGGAAACCAUCUGGCUAGAGUCCGGAAGAGGAGAGUGGAAUUCCUGGUGUAGCGGUGAAAUGCGCAGAUAUCAGGAAGAACACCGAUGGCGAAGGCAGCUCUCUGGGACGGUACUGACGCUGAGACGCGAAAGCGUGGGGAGCGAACAGG
rnacentral:rRNA from 1 species